GUCAGUGUGGCCGAGUGGUCUAAGGCGUGCGAUUCGAAAUCACAUGGGGUUUCCCCUCGCAGGUUCAAAUCCUGUCGCUGACU